rfam:Streptomyces clavuligerus ATCC 27064 chromosome, whole genome shotgun sequence.
CUUCAGCGAACCCAACCACAACGGCCGACCCGCCGAACGCCCCUGACCAUAGGUCGCCAGCAACGCCUGCGCCUC